rnacentral:lncRNA from 1 species
GUCUGUUUUUGUCUUAAUUGUAUUGUGCUUAGACUAUGGUUAUUUUUUAUGACUAGAUUUAAAUAUAGUGACAGAUUGUACUUUAAGUACUAGUACUGCUUCAGUCGACACAAGGGACUAUCUUGACCCUGUUUUACGGUAUUAUUGAUUCUUUUAUUGUUGAAGACCCUCCAACAACUUUGACCAUUGUCUUUUACAGUUGUU